UCCAGGAGCAGAUGAGCCACUGACUAACGCACAUUGUGCUUCUCGUGUCCCCACUGUGCGUGUGACAGCGGCUAACCUGCUUUUCGGA
rnacentral:pre_miRNA from 11 species